rnacentral:rRNA from 1 species
UACGAAGGGUGCAAGCGUUAAUCGGAAUUACUGGGCGCAAAGGGUGCGUAGGCGGUUGUUUAAGUCUGUCGUGAAAUCCCCGGGCUCAACCUGGGAAUGGCGAUGGAUACUGGGCAGCUAGAGUGUGUCAGAGGAUGGUGGAAUUCCCGGUGUAGCGGUGAAAUGCGUAGAGAUCGGGAGGAACAUCAGUGGCGAAGGCGGCCAUCUGGGACAACACUGACGCUGAAGCACGAAAGCGUGGGGAGCAAACAGG